rnacentral:misc_RNA from 1 species
UUGUUUGCAAAUUUCAUCGAUUGAGAUUAAAACAGUGUAGAAUUGCCAGCUUAUUUGGUAACUAACUCAUCAAGCAGUUCAAAUGCAAACAACAAUUUUCUUUCUCUGCAUAUAUGUUCAACUAAAACAGCCCAUGAAUCAGGUUCUGGUUUAAACCCCAUUUCUGCUAAUCCAAAUAAUGCUGUAACAGCAUCAUCCACCAUUGCAGCUUUACAUAAGCGAACCAACAACUCAUUUGAAGUUGCAUGAUGGGGUACAAAGCCUCUACUGAGCAUAAAAUCCAACAGUUCACAAGUCUUCUCCAGCUUACCUG